UCCUCUGGUGGAUGCUCAAAUUACCAGUUUUCGAACUUUGCUAUAGAAGAUCAAGGAGAAAUAUUCAUGUCCGUCUCAUCAGCUUAUAGUAGCAGAUGCACGGAUUAGUACUACUACAAUCUGUAGCGGAGAGAUUGCUUCUCCUUUGGCCGAAGCAAACUCAAGCCCUGUGGAUAAUGUUGUGGGUCAUCGGGGGCUACUUGAUACUUUCAUCGAUGAACAUUCAGG
rnacentral:lncRNA from 1 species